CCCCAGGGCACGUGAACACGUUUGUGAACCUGCUGCUACUCAUCUGCCCCUGGUCGAUCUGCUCCAGAGGACCCUGGGAGGACAAAGGGAAGGCGUUCUCUGCACCCCAUAACUCAGUCGGCCUGCCAGACUUCCAGUCUCUGGACUCGUGGGAAGCGGGUCCACAGCUCAGCAGAUCAGACCCUGGAUCUCCAGUCAUGAACUCCAUCCUGACUUUGAAGCAGCAGCACAGCUCUAGGUCUGGCAGUGCUUGGAGGAAUUGGGAACCAAGCACCUUGCAUGAAAUCAUUUUGGAGAACAAAAACAAAAUUAGAGAGAAAAAUGGAAAAACUGAGCCUUUGCUAUAAGCACCAAACCCAGAUCUGAAGAUGUUCUACAUGAAGCUGCUGUGGUAGCAAGGAUGACAGCAAGAACAGAUCAGGGACCCUGAGCCACAGACUCCAGGAGGCUAACUUUCCCCUGGAUGCCCUUGCUCCAGCUCUCAGUCUUCCCACCUCCACCCGUCCCAUUUACUGCCAGGUCCGGCUGAGGAUGACUCUGCCUGCAGCAGCAGGAAUGGUGGGUACCUCCAUUCAGGACCCACUGCUCCAAGCCAGGUGUCCGCUCUCACCAACGCAUCCCAUGCCUGUUAGGCAGGGCAAGUUCUGCACCUCCCAGCUGCAGCCCAGUAAAAGAAAGAAAACCAGUUUCCACUCAUCCUCACCACCCAGGGUCUUGGACUGCUUCCAGUGAGGUCCCAGUGAGGUCACCCAGCAAUCCCAGAGAGGCAGUUCUGCCCCCAUGAACAGCCUCUGCACCUGUGACCAGGAAGGCUGCUGCCAUGGCCCAGCCCCACACUUCCGUCCCACACCAACCCUUACCCCUGCUGUGGUCCAAGAUUCCUUGUACCCUGCAAGGAGUUCAUUAGGGGGUGGUGUGAAUGGAGCUCAGCCAAGUCAGCUGUCAGGAGAGGCUGUCCUUUCUGUGGCUGCUGGCAGGAGGGGAACUACAUGUGGCUCCCCUGUCUUGCCCUCAUGGAGGUUGUUCUGCACCUGUGCAGGAUGGCUGGUUUGGCUGAGUUUUCAUUUAGCAAGGGUCCCCACCCUGACCCAGCUGUCUCUUUGCCAGUAAGUACAGAAGACUCCUGAACCAUUUGCCGGGGAUGUGAGGGCUUAGUAGGGGGUGACAUCCCUUCAUUCCCCACUUUCUGGCCUUACUAUGGCAUGAACUGUGUGCCACAGGCCCUCAGAACUCUGUCUUUUGAUUUUCUAGAGGCUGGUUUGAAACCUUUUUAAAGGUUUCAAUAUUACUGUUGGUGGUGGUGGGCUUUUUUGUUUGUUUGUGUUCUUACUGUAAUAAUCUCACCAAAACAAGGACCCAGAAUGCAGGAAGGAAAGAGUGUUUCAAUAUCUUCCUUUGCACAUUUUAGCUUGGAGAUUUAUUGCCAUAAUUUUGGGGUACAACCUGAUAGCAUACCCUUAUGUAUUAAUGACAACUCCUAUGGUUUGGAUAGGGCUUGGGUGUACCCCAAGGGUCCAUGUGCUACCGGCUUAG